GUGCUGUCUGAAGGCGAAUAAGAUUGAUUUAAACAUUUCCCUUCGCCAGUUGAAAACACGAAUAACUGACUUUUUCAGUUCCUAAAGCUAUUUGGAAAUGAGUAUUAUAUACAAGGUUUUCAAGGUCAAACUAAUCAGUCCGUCGUUAGAGAUUACGAAGUUGUAUCGCCUCGUUACAACAAAACACAAGGAAGAAGUUUGAGCAACGAGAAAGACAUGGGGAGUACAAGCGUCCUUCUGAAGACCUUAGUGGUAUUGGUUGUAAUAGCCGUGUACUUGGUAUAUGCUCCAGGUCUUCUGGACUUUAAUCCAGUUGCUUUCAGUAUUAAUGUCCCAGAUAAGUUUGAAGAACCUCUAGCCCCCAACAAUGAACUUAGUAAUGCAGAAAGACUUCUUGAGAAUGAAAUAAUUGGACCAGAGUCUGUUGCUGCUUUAGGAGGUAGGAUGUUAAUAUAUGUGUUAAU